GAUACUUUCUCCUUAUUACGGAAGCAGCCGAGCCCCGUUCAUCGCCCAGGCGAUCUUUUGGGAACACUGAAGUGCAGUGGUACACAUCUGGAACAACUAGAAUACCUCAUGGUGAGAGCUAUUAUACCCAGGAGGAGGGGUCAGAAGGCGGCGACUGGGCAUGCGCGAAACCCGUUUUGCGCCGGAGUCCAUCAAGUGAAG